GAGCCCAAACCAACAAGCUUGCUUGUUGGGGUUGUAGGACACUCUAUACGGAGUUACAAAGGACGACAUUAGACGAAUCAUCUGGAAAGAUGAAUCAAAGAAGGUAAUAAUCCUGUAGUCGAAAAUGUUGUCUCUCUUGAGUGGAUCCUGAGUACGACGGAGCACGUGAAAUUCCGUCGGAAUCUGGGAGGACCAUCUCCUAAGGCUAAAUACUCUCUAGUGACCGAUAGUGAACCAGUACCGUGAGGGAAAGGUGAAAAGCACCCCGGAAGGGGAGUGAAAUAGAACCUGAAACCGUGUGCUUACAAGUAGUCAGAGCCCGUUAAUGGGUGAUGGCGUGCCUUUUGUAGAAUGAACCGGCGAGUUACGAUUUGAUGCAAGGUUAAGCAGUAAAUGUGGAGCCGUAGCGAAAGCGAGUCUGAAUAGGGCGUUUAGUAUUUGGUCGUAGACCCGAAACCAGGUGAUCUACCCUUGGUCAGGUUGAAGUUCAGGUAACACUGAAUGGAGGACCGAACCGACUUACGUUGAAAAGUGAGCGGAUGAACUGAGGGUAGCGGAGAAAUUCCAAUCGAACCUGGAGAUAGCUGGUUCUCUCCGAAAUAGCUUUAGGGCUAGCCUCAAGUGAUGAUUAUUGGAGGUAGAGCACUGUUUGGACGAGGGGCCCCUCUCGGGUUACCGAAUUCAGACAAACUCCGAAUGCCAAUUAAUUUAACUUGGGAGUCAGAACAUGGGUGAUAAGGUCCGUGUUCGAAAGGGAAACAGCCCAGACCACCAGCUAAGGUCCCAAAAUAUAUGUUAAGUGGAAAAGGAUGUGGCGUUGCCCAGACAACUAGGAUGUUGGCUUAGAAGCAGCCAUCAUUUAAAGAGUGCGUAAUAGCUCACUAGUCGAGUGACACUGCGCCGAAAAUGUACCGGGGCUAAACAUAUUACCGAAGCUGUGGAUUGUCCUUUGGACAAUGGUAGGAGAGCGUUCUAAGGGCGUUGAAGCAUGAUCGUAAGGACAUGUGGAGCGCUUAGAAGUGAGAAUGCCGGUGUGAGUAGCGAAAGACGGGUGAGAAUCCCGUCCACCGAUUGACUAAGGUUUCCAGAGGAAGGCUCGUCCGCUCUGGGUUAGUCGGGUCCUAAGCUGAGGCCGACAGGCGUAGGCGAUGGAUAACAGGUUGAUAUUCCUGUACCACCUAUAAUCGUUUUAAUCGAUGGGGGGACGCAGUAGGAUAGGCGAAGCGUGCGAUUGGAUUGCACGUCUAAGCAGUAAGGCUGAGUAUUAGGCAAAUCCGGUACUCGUUAAGGCUGAGCUGUGAUGGGGAGAAGACAUUGUGUCUUCGAGUCGUUGAUUUCACACUGCCGAGAAAAGCCUCUAGAUAGAAAAUAGGUGCCCGUACCGCAAACCGACACAGGUAGUCAAGAUGAGAAUUCUAAGGUGAGCGAGCGAACUCUCGUUAAGGAACUCGGCAAAAUGACCCCGUAACUUCGGGAGAAGGGGUGCUCUUUAGGGUUAACGCCCAGAAGAGCCGCAGUGAAUAGGCCCAAGCGACUGUUUAUCAAAAACACAGGUCUCUGCUAAACCGUAAGGUGAUGUAUAGGGGCUGACGCCUGCCCGGUGCUGGAAGGUUAAGAGGAGUGGUUAGCUUCUGCGAAGCUACGAAUCGAAGCCCCAGUAAACGGCGGCCGUAACUAUAACGGUCCUAAGGUAGCGAAAUUCCUUGUCGGGUAAGUUCCGACCCGCACGAAAGGCGUAACGAUUUGGGCACUGUCUCAACGAGAGACUCGGUGAAAUCAUAGUACCUGUGAAGAUGCAGGUUACCCGCGACAGGACGGAAAGACCCCGUGGAGCUUUACUGUAGCCUGAUAUUGAAAUUCGGCACAGCUUGUACAGGAUAGGUAGGAGCCUUUGAAACGUGAGCGCUAGCUUACGUGGAGGCGCUGGUGGGAUACUACCCUAGCUGUGUUGGCUUUCUAACCCGCACCACUUAUCGUGGUGGGAGACAGUGUCAGGCGGGCAGUUUGACUGGGGCGGUCGCCUCCUAAAAGGUAACGGAGGCGCUCAAAGGUUCCCUCAGAAUGGUUGGAAAUCAUUCAUAGAGUGUAAAGGCAUAAGGGAGCUUGACUGCGAGACCUACAAGUCGAGCAGGGUCGAAAGACGGACUUAGUGAUCCGGUGGUUCCGCAUGGAAGGGCCAUCGCUCAACGGAUAAAAGCUACCCCGGGGAUAACAGGCUUAUCUCCCCCAAGAGUUCACAUCGACGGGGAGGUUUGGCACCUCGAUGUCGGCUCAUCGCAUCCUGGGGCUGUAGUCGGUCCCAAGGGUUGGGCUGUUCGCCCAUUAAAGCGGUACGCGAGCUGGGUUCAGAACGUCGUGAGACAGUUCGGUCCCUAUCCGUCGUGGGCGUAGGAAAUUUGAGAGGAGCUGUCCUUAGUACGAGAGGACCGGGAUGGACAUACCUCUGGUGUACCAGUUGUCGUGCCAACGGCAUAGCUGGGUAGCUAUGUGUGGACGGGAUAAGUGCUGAAAGCAUCUAAGCAUGAAGCCCCCCUCAAGAUGAGAUUUCCCAACUUCGGUUAUAAGAUCCCUCAAAGAUGAUGAGGUUAAUAGGUUCGAGGUGGAAGCAUGGUGACAUGUGGAGCUGACGAAUACUAAUCGAUCGAAGACUUAAUCAA
rnacentral:rRNA from 1 species